GAGAGAAUGAUGGCAGCGUCGUAUAAAUUUGAAAUCUACAAAGACAAAUCCGGCGAAUUCCGCUUUCGCUUCCGCGCCCCGAACGGCGAGAAGAUGUUCGCCUCGGAAGGCUAUUCCAACAAGGCGUCCGCCAAGAGCACGAUCAAGUCGAUCGUCAAGCAUGUCGCCAAGGCUGAGAUCGACGACGUCUCGAAGGCCGUGAAGGCGAAGGACAAGCCUGCGAAGAAAAAGAAGAAGUCCAGGAAGAAGUGAUUUUCAGCGAUCAUCGCAAGGAGAACCCCGGCUCAAAGCCGGGGUUUUUCAUUUGCAUCGGUCCGCGCCGAGAACCGGGAUCACGCCACGCGGACGCUUGCGCCGCUGGUCGCGUUGCGCUGGGCCUGCAACAACGCGGUGAUCUCGGCG
rnacentral:misc_RNA from 1 species